rnacentral:rRNA from 1 species
UACGUAGGGUGCGAGCGUUGUCCGGAAUUAUUGGGCGUAAAGGGCUCGUAGGCGGUUUGUCGCGUCGGGAGUGAUAACCCAGGGCUUAACUCUGGGCUUGCUUUCGAUACGGGCAGACUAGAGGUAUGCAGGGGAGAACGGAAUUCCUGGUGUAGCGGUGAAAUGCGCAGAUAUCAGGAGGAACACCGGUGGCGAAGGCGGUUCUCUGGGCAGUAACUGACGCUGAGGAGCGAAAGCGUGGGGAGCGAACAGG